rnacentral:rRNA from 1 species
UACGAAGGGUGCAAGCGUUACUCGGAAUUACUGGGCGUAAAGCGUGCGUAGGUGGUUUGUUAAGUCUGAUGUGAAAGCCCUGGGCUCAACCUGGGAAUUGCAUUGGAUACUGGCAGGCUAGAGUGCGGUAGAGGAUGGCGGAAUUCCCGGUGUAGCAGUGAAAUGCGCAGAUAUCAGGAGGAACACCGAUGGCGAAGGCAGCUCGCUGGGACGGUACUGACGCUGAGGCGCGAAAGCGUGGGGAGCAAACAGG